rnacentral:rRNA from 1 species
AUUGAACGCUGGCGGCAUGCCUUACACCUGCAAGUCGAACGGCAGCACGGGAGCAAUCCUGGUGGCGAGUGGCGAACGGGUGAGUAAUAUAUCGGAACGUGCCCCGUUGUGGGGGAUAACGUAGAGAAAUUUACGCUAAUACCGCCUGAGAUUUACGGAUGAAAGCGGGGGACUUUGCAAAGAGCCUCGCGCGACUGGAGCGGCUGAUAUCAGAUUAGGUUGUUGGUGAGGUAAAAGCUCACCCAGCCGAUGAUCUGUAGCUGGUUUGAGAGAACGACCAGCCCCCCUGGGACUGAGACCCGGCCCCGACUCCUACGGGAGGCAGCCGUGGGGAAUUUUGGACAAUGGGCGAAAGCCUGAUCCCGCAAUGCCGCGUGCAGGAAGAAGGCCUUCGGGUUGUAAACUGCUUUUGUACGGAACGAAAAAGCUUUUUUUAAUAAAGAGAGCUCAUGACGGUACCGUAAGAAUAAGCCCCGGCUAACUACGUG